AAAAAAACAGCAAGUCAUAUAUAAAAUAAUACGGUAAAAAAACUAAGUAGCAACGAUUUUCGUUUUUCCACCCCUUUUUUUUCUUUUUUUUUCUCUCGUUUUUGUAUUU
rnacentral:ribozyme from 12 species